ACCUGAAUAGCGGAAAACAGUUGAGUGAAAAAAUAGUGCAUGAUACGGUAUAUUAGUGAUGCGAUAGAAAGAGAGACGAUGUAUUAAAUUAGGAGAAUGUUAACCAGUGUUCUAAGGACAUUGGUUAAGCAUCCAAAACAAGCAAAUGUUCUUAAAGAAAGUUGUGUAAUCACUGUUUGAUCAAAAGUAACAUCUUAUAUUUCGAAGAUAAAAUUUCUAUUUGUAGAAUCCUUAAGCAAUGCUUUGAGGGGCACUGGUUAGCAAGAUCUAUUAAAUUAUUGUACAAAAAUAAUGUCAAUUAAAAUAUAAUAGUUGAUUUUAAAAACUUUAUUACUCCGUCUUAAAAUAAUCGUUUCUUUACUAUUUUUUUCAUGUUUCAGAAUAAUUGUCACUUUAGAAUACCAUGCAGCUAUCAUUUGUUAUUUUUCACUAUUAUAUCUUUAUUGGCCUUGCUAACAAGUGCCUUUAGGGCACUAGUUAAUGAUUCAAAAAAAUAAAAACAAUUGAUAAUUUUCAUAUAUAAAAAGUUGCUUUUUUAUGUUUCAUCCAACUUAAUUACUUCACUAACUACAAUUAAUAAUGAUAUUUUAGUAAAUAAUAAUAAUUUUAUAAUUGAAAUCAAUACAAUUAAUCAUUUCCUUAAAGAUCCUUAAUAAGAAUAUUUUGAGUGAGAGGGAGUAGUUAUUUUCAAUUUGUUUUUCUAAUUUUGUUUGAUUUAUGAAAUUCUAAAUUGAUGCUUGAAUGUUAAGGAGGAAUACAUAAUUAAAAUAAAAGUAUGUGUAAAUAAAUGUUUGCUGCUGGUACAAAUAAAUAAAUAAUAAUAAAAAUUAGACCAGAAAGAAGCCACAUGAAUGAAGUGCAGAUUGAAGUUUAAGAAGCUCAUGUUGUGCUGUAGAUGGUAAAGUGAGGUUGGCAAUGUCAAUGAUUGGAACUUGAAAAUCUGAUUCUGAAGGAAGAAGAGCAUCACGAAAUCCAACACCACCUUCAUUAUAGAUAUAAUUAUUUGGUGGAAGAUUUUCAGAAUUCAAUGCCAACUCUUGAACUGAUUUAUUACCAACUAUCUUUACCUCUGCCGACACCUCCAUUUUUGUUAUUGUUAUUUGUGAUGAAAUCACUAAACAAGUCAAAAGAAGAAGCAAUAAUAAUAAUCAAACUAGACAAAAACCCACGUGUUUGAAUGCAGAUACUCAUCAAUUCAUAUGUGGUCCAUUGGAAAUUUCACAUUAUAUCUUACCCUCAUCUUAUCUACCCAAUCCAUAUACCAAUCCUUUUAAGUGUUGUUUUAAAAGCCCGUGAGUCUCACUUGUGAUGAAAACCCACGCGCUAAGUCUUAAAUUAUGAAGUUGGUUGUAGAUACGAGUUCGGUUACGAUAUGAUACGAGUAUGUGGGUAUAAUACGAUUCAGAUAUGUGGAUACACGAAUUUUUUAAAAUUUAAGAUAAGAUACGACUAAGAUACUUUGACAAAAUUUAAUAAUAAAAAACUGCGGAAAAUUUUUGAAGAAAAUAAACAUUGAUUACUUUUUAUCAUUAUAUAAUAUUAUAAAAGUCACAAUUUUUCAAAUAAAAAAAAAAGUCACAAUUUUUUAAAAAUAAUAUGUGAUUAAAAUUAACAAAUGUUAAGUUUUCUUAUAAACCAUAUUAUUUUUUUAUAUGUUGGGAUAUGGACAGAAACAUUAUUAAAAAAAUUCAACACAAAUUUUAUCUAAUGUUGAUUAAUUGAAUCUCCCCGCUUUUGAAAAAGAUAAGCUAACAAUAGGAAAAAAAUACUCUCUCUUUCUCUCUUGCGACAAAACAGAUACAAUAACAGCCUUCCUUAUCCCUUGAAUCCAAACAUUUCCCAAAAGAUGUAGCCUUCAGGUUCAUGGUGGUGCUUUGGGACCUCACGUCCGCACCAUCAACACGCCCUCGUGGUGCUGGUUAGUCCGGCGGCCUUGCCGUCGUUCUAUUGUUGAAGACUGCUUUCACCUCCGUCGCGAAGAGGGGUUUGGUUCAUUUUAGAUCGAUCUGUUUGUUGAGUUCUUGCUUAUGAAGCCACAUGAAUGAAGUGCAGAUUGGAGUUUAUGAAGCUCAUGUUGUGCUGUAGAUGGAGAAGUGAGGUUGGCAAUGUCAAUGAUUGGAACAUGAAAAUCUGAUUCUGAAGGAAGAAGAGCAUCACGAAAUAGUGUUUGAAACACUUGUUAACAUUUUCUUUAAUAUAUAACUCUUCAACAAGAAAUUCU
rnacentral:lncRNA from 1 species